UACGGAGGGUCCAAGCGUUAUCCGGAAUCAUUGGGUUUAAAGGGUCCGUAGGCGGUUUUGUAAGUCAGUGGUGAAAGCCCAUCGCUCAGCGGUGGAACGGCCAUUGAUACUGCAAGACUUGAAUUAUUAGGAAGUAACUAGAAUAUGUAGUGUAGCGGUGAAAUGCUUAGAUAUUACAUGGAAUACCAAUUGCGAAGGCAGGUUACUACUAAUAUAUUGACGCUGAUGGACGAAAGCGUGGGGAGCGAACAGG
rnacentral:rRNA from 1 species